GAUGAACGCUGACAGAAUGCUUAACACAUGCAAGUCAACUUGAAUUUGGGUUUUUAACUUAGAUUUGGGUGGCGGACGGGUGAGUAACGCGUAAAGAACUUGCCUCACAGCUAGGGACAACAUUUAGAAAUGAAUGCUAAUACCUGAUAUUAUGAUUUUAAGGCAUCUUAGAAUUAUGAAAGCUAUAAGCACUGUGAGAGAGCUUUGCGUCCCAUUAGCUAGUUGGAGAGGUAACAGCUCACCAAGGCGAUGAUGGGUAGCCGGCCUGAGAGGGUGAACGGCCACAAGGGGACUGAGACACGGCCCUUACUCCUACGGGAGGCAGCAGUGGGGAAUAUUGGACAAUGGACCGAGAGUCUGAUCCAGCAAUUCUGUGUGCACGAUGAAGUUUUUCGGAAUGUAAAGUGCUUUCAGUUGGGAAGAAAUAAAUGACGGUACCAACAGAAGAAGUGACGGCUAAAUACGUGCCAGCGGCCGCGGUAAUACGUAUGUCACGAGCGUUAUCCGGAUUUAUUGGGCGUAAAGCGCGUCUAGGUGGUUAUGUAAGUCUGAUGUGAAAAUGCAGGGCUCAACUCUGUAUUGCGUUGGAAACUGUAUAACUAGAGUACUGGAGAGGUAAGCGGAACUACAAGUGUAGAGGUGAAAUUCGUAGAUAUUUGUAGGAAUGCCGAUGGGGAAGCCAGCUUACUGGACAGAUACUGACGCUGAAGCGCGAAAGCGUGGGUAGCAAACAGG
rnacentral:rRNA from 1 species